GACGAACGCUGGCGGCGUGCUUAACACAUGCAAGUCGAGCGGAGCGGCGAACGGGUGAGUAACGCGUGAGUAACUGCCCCCCUCUCUGGGAUAACAGUUGGAAACGGCUGCUAAUACCGGAUAGUGGGGGAUGACUCGCGUCCUAUCAGUUUGUUGGUGGGGUAGUGGCCUACCAAGGCGACGACGGGUAGCCGACCUGAGAGGGGGACCGGCCACAUUGUGCUGCGGUACGGACCAAACGCGUACGGGAGGCAGCAGUGGAGAGUAUUACACAAUGGGGGAAACCCUGAUGCAGCGACGCCGCGUGCGGGAUGACGGCUUUCGGGUUGUAAACCGCUUUCAGCCAUGACGCGGUAGUGGCAGAAGAAGCACCGGCUAACUACGUGCCAGCAGCCGCGGUAAUUC
rnacentral:rRNA from 1 species